rnacentral:lncRNA from 10 species
UGCUCUAAUGGACUCUUCAAUUAGUACCCUUUUUAUUCUGCCCCAGCAUUCAUACCACUACAAUAUUUAUCGAAGUUUAAUUAUGUGCAUUGAAAUUAGCUGUUGAAUGGCUGCCAGUAGAACUGCCUGGCAAGCUCCUUGCAGAAAGAGUUUCUGUCCCGUUCAUUUCAGGACAUGUACUCUGCCAGCCUGACCAACAUGGGGAAACCCCGUCUCUACUAAAAAUUAAAAAAAAAAAUUAACUGGGCAUGGCGGCACGUGCCUGUAGUCCCAGCUACUUGGGAGGCUGAGGCAGGAAAAUUGCUUGAAACCGGGAGGCAGAGGUGGCAGUGAGCCAAGAUCGCACCACUGCACUCCAGCCUGGGUGACAGAGCGAGACUCCGUCUCAACAACAACAGCAACAAAAGAAUGUCGCAUUCUUCAUGAUUUAAUCUAAUAGUCAAUGCAUGGGGCCAGGCAUGGUGACAGAGCUAUGCUUAGCCAGAUAACCUGCAGUUAAAAGUCCAGCUCCCACAGUUAUUAUGGAACUUUGUGUAAAUCAUACUGUUUUUCUGUAUCCUCACUUAUGAAACAAAUGG